rnacentral:rRNA from 1 species
GACGAACCGAGCGAACGUUGUUCGGAAUCACUGGGCUUAAAGGGCGCGUAGGCGGGUGCUCAAGUCCGUGGUGAAAUCCUCCGGCUCACCGGAGAACUGCCUCGGAUACUGGCGUCUCGAGUGUGGUAGGGGUAUGCGGAACUAUCGGUGGAGCGGUGAAAUGCGUUGAUAUCGAUAGGAACUCCGGUGGCGAAGGCGGCAUCCUGGACCGAACACUGACGCUGAGUGAGCGAAAGCCAGGGAGCAAACGGG